AUACAGAGGGUGCAAGCGUUAAUCGGAUUUACUGGGCGUAAAGCGCGCGUAGGUGGCUAAUUAAGUCAAAUGUGAAAUCCCCGAGCUUAACUUGGGAAUUGCAUUCGAUACUGGUUAGCUAGAGUAUGGGAGAGGAUGGUAGAAUUCCAGGUGUAGCGGUGAAAUGCGUAGAGAUCUGGAGGAAUACCGAUGGCGAAGGCAGCCAUCUGGCCUAAUACUGACACUGAGGUGCGAAAGCAUGGGGAGCAAAGGAUUAGAUACCCUGGUAGUCCAUGCCGUAAACGAUGUCUACUAGCCGUUGGGGCCCUUGAGGCUUUAGUGGCGCAGCUAACGCGAUAAGUAGACCGCCUGGGGAGUACGGUCGCAAGACUAAAACUCAAAUGAAUUGACGGGG
rnacentral:rRNA from 1 species